rnacentral:rRNA from 1 species
AGUGAACGCUGGCGGUAGGCCUAACACAUGCAAGUCGAACGGUAGCACAGAGGAGCUUGCUUCUUGGGUGACGAGUGGCGGACGGGUGAGGAAUGCAUCGGAAUCUACUCUUUCGUGGGGGAUAACGUAGGGAAACUUACGCUAAUACCGCAUACGACCUACGGGUGAAAGCAGGGGACCUUCUAGGCCUUGCGCGAUUGAAUGAGCCGAUGUCCGAUUAGCUAGUUGGCGGGGUAAUGGCCCACCAAGGCGACGAUCGGUAGCUGGUCUGAGAGGAUGAUCAGCCACACUGGAACUGAGACACGGUCCAGACUCCUACGGGAGGCAGCAGUGGGGAAUAUUGGACAAUGGGCGCAAGCCUGAUCCAGCCAUACCGCGUGGGUGAAGAAGGCCUUCGGGUUGUAAAGCCCUUUUGUUGGGAAAGAAAAGCAGCCGGCUAAUACCCGGUUGUUCUGACGGUACCCAAAGAAUAAGCACCGGCUAACUUCGUG